rnacentral:tRNA from 1 species
AUUUAUCUAAUAUAAUAAAGUAUAUUUGACUUCCAAUCAAAAAGUUUGAAAACUCAAGAUAAAUA